GACAGAGGGUGCAAACGUUGUUCGGAAUUACUGGGCGUAAAGCGAGUGUAGGCGGUCUGAAAAGUCGGGUGUGAAAGCCCCGGGCUCAACCCGGGAAGUGCACUCGAAACUGCCAGGCUAGAGUAUCGGAGAGGUUGGUGGAGUUCUCGGUGUAGAGGUGAAAUUCGUAGAUAUCGAGAGGAACACCGGUGGCGAAGGCGGCCAACUGGACGAAUACUGACGCUGAGACUCGAAAGCGUGGGGAGCAAACAGG
rnacentral:rRNA from 1 species